GUCGGUUCGGCAAUCCGUCGCACCUACGCGAAGAUAUCGCCAAAAGAAGAUUUUCGGCGUCGAUAGUCACGAGCGCGGGUCGCGAUUCUCGGGAAAGCGCUAGAAGCGCAUUUCUCCCAUUCCGGCAUCAAAGAAAGGUUGCACGCGAGCGGCGCGGCGGCGCGAGGACAGGGCGUAGCUUCGUAGAUAACGCCCCACCACUGAGACUGAGAUAGCAACACCCUGAAGAGGUCAAGUUCAGAGUUCAAAUGGAAAGAAACAAAAUUGUAGUAAUUUGUAUAAGUUUCGUAUUAACUUAAAAGCAUAUGUGGCUAUGUAAAUGUAAAAUAUUGUAAAUGUAAAAGAAUCUCUGAGAUGAAUGCUUGUAAUAGCAUAGUUUGCACUUUAUGUUUUCGAUA